ensembl:lncRNA
AGGGAGGUGGGGCCGCGUAGGUUUAUGAGAGCUGGGGGGCGGGAGUGUGGGUCCUGCUGCCAGGCCUCGUGCCUGUCUCAUUAAUUGGGGGAGUGAGUGCACGGACUUGGGUGCAUCGGGGGUGGCAUCCUGAAUCAUAGAUUAGGCUAUAAUGACAAUCAGUAACAAAGACCCAAUAACCACUCCCCUAAAAUGUGACCUUGGACUUCGGGGCAAAAUAAUGUCGCCCAUCUGUCUUUGACCCACAUUCUCUGGCUCCUGUCUGCAGGGUUGUACAGGCUGGCGGAUCACUCACCCUCUGACAAGCUCACGUGAACGCACGUAUGGUCGGGUGCAUGUACAGCACACCCAGAGGCAAAUCAAGAAGUAAUUAUAGAACAAGCUUUCUGGCGCCUCAAACACAGUCACACCUCCUCCAAGAGCUGGGAAAAUGGAAAGAAACAGUUACCCCAGCUGUGUCUGGAUACCGACUACAUUGGGAGGCAGAAACCCGACAGUUUGAACUUCGUCUGUGGUCAUAAGGAUGGCAAGGGACACAGCAGUCUGGAGAUGGAGCUGGCUGCCGGAAGCUGCCUGGCUCACUUCUGGAGUUAACUGGAGCCCUGAUCAGUACAGGAGAUGCAGGGGUCUGCUACAACUUCUUCAUGCAAAGCCUCACAAAGUGUCCUCCCACCUAACUGGGAUGAGAGAAGGAAAAGGGCAGCAGGUAGGAGACAAAGCAGUUAAAGCAAAGAGAGUGAAACAAUCCAAAUGCCCAUUGGCAGUGUAGGAUUCCUGGUUAAAGGAAUCUAGACAAACUGUUAAGAAAGAGCGGGAUCUAUAGGGAUUAAUAAGUGACAAUCUUUUGAUUAUUUUUUGAUUUAUAACAAAUUCUGUUUUGAACAUUCUUUAAAAGUAGAGACUAAUGUAUAUAAUAGCUACUGGUUUGUUUCUUUUUAUUUUUUUUUUUUAAGAUUUUAUUGGGGAAGGGGAACAGGACUUUAUUGGGGAACAGUGUGUGCUUCCAGGCAUUUUUUUCCAAGUCAAGUUGUUGUCCUUUCAAUCUUAGUUGUGGAGUGUGCCAUUCAGCUUCAAGUUGUUGUCCUUUCAGUCUUAGUUGUGGAGGGCACAGCUCAGCUCCAGGUCCAGUUGCCCUUGCUAGUUGCAGGGGGCACAGCCCACCAUCCCUUGUGGGAGUCGAACCGGCAACCUUGUGGUUGAGAGGAUGUUCUCCAACCAACUGAGCCAUCUGGGAGGCAGCUCUGCUCAAGGUGCCGUGUUCAAUCUUAGUUGCAGGGGGCGGAGCCCACCAUCCCUUGCGGGACUCGAGGAAUUGAACUGGCAACCUUGUGGUUGAGAGCCCACUGGCCCGUGUGGGAAUAGAACCGGCAGCCUUCGGAGUUAGGAGCAUGGAGCUCUAACCGCCUGAGCCACUGGGCCGGCCUUGGUUUGUUUCUUUUUAACUGGGAGUUAUCUGUAUCUAUAGCUUUCUCUCCGUUGUGUGUGUAUCUAUAUAAAUACCUAUAUCUAUACAUGAAUAUACUUUCAGUUUCUCGAUCGUUAACUAAUAAACUGGUAACAGUGAUGGUUUCUAGAAACAAAAAGUAUGAGCCUGCAGAUCAGAGGUCAAAAGACC